rnacentral:lncRNA from 1 species
UUUCAGCCAUGCAAAAAGCUGGAUGGAUGCUUUUGUUUCAGUUUAUAUGCUUUAUUUCAAGUGAAUGAAAAAGGCCACUCAAACCAGAGCCCCUCUGCCUUCUGCAUGUUUUUUUCUUUAAGUCUAACAGAAUCUGUGUUCCCACAGAGCUCCACCUCCUACCAACAGCAGUGCGGUCAGUGGAGAGGAAAGAUGCUGAAAAUGAUCCCUGCGUUAUCCGGGUGCCAAAUCAAUGCAUCUCAUCCUGCCCUGCACUGAGAGCAGAGCAUUGCUGAGAGCAGGAUGGAGGAAGGUGAGGGAAGUCCUACAGGUGGGGAAGGAACACCAACAGGUCUGAAGGACCGCAGUGCCCCUGCAGCUCCCCAGGUCUCCACCUGCGACUGCCCCGUGCAAUGGGAAAUAUAACUACAUUCUGAGAACAACAGCCCCUUAGGAAGAAAAAACAAUAAGGGAAGAAAGCACGCCUUUGAAAAACAACAGCAAAGAAAAAAACCCUUCAACUAUAAAAUAAACUAAGAGCGUGGAGGGGAAAGCACUGCCUGCACGGAGGGAACGAUGUAAAAAUCCUUGGAAACAGAGCAGGGCUGCAGGUGAUGGGCUUUAUUUUGCCAAAUUCUGAGCCGUCAUUUGCUGCCAGCAGUCCCACCUCUUCCAUCCAGGAGCUGGUGACGUUGAUCGAGCUGCAGAUCAGAAGCUGUUCCCUGGAUGAGGUGGGCCGCCUGCUGCCCUCACCAUGCUCUUCCCACCCCACUGCUGCCCGCCCUGAGGUCUGCUCCAGCGCAGGGAGGUCUGGCACUCUUGAACCUGAGGUCAAAAACAAGAGGGAGGAAAAGAAUGGCCUUCAGGCCAGAGGAAGAAACCAGGGCAACCAGGCUCUUAACGUGAUAAAAGGGCUUUAUCUCAAAGCACUUAAACAAAACACACAAGCCUGAGAGAAGAGGCUCUGUCAAGUAUCCGCCCGGGACAUGGGGAAAUUGCAAAUCCCUGCAGGACAGAGGGGCUCUUUCUUCAGUGUGCAGAGCCUGGAGAUGGGGCUGGGCAGGUGAGGGGUGCUGGGGAAGGGGUGCAUGGGGGAUUUCCCGUUUGCAGUGGUGCAUGGGUACGGAUCAGACUGUGAGCAGCUGUUAGAGAGCAGAUCACGGGCACGGGGAGUGGGCAGCAGUGCUGGAGAGGGGCAGGAGAGAAUGGGAGAUGGGACAUGCAGCAGCAGGUGGGCACAGUCCCACCCCCUGUGUGUGGGGAGUCAGUGUAAAUCAGUGCCACCUCUGCACUUGGUGGGUGGAUGGGUGCAGUUUGCAGGAGUUGGAUGGGUGUAGUUUACAGGAGUUGGAGGGGAGGCUUGGUUCUUGCUGGCCCCUUACAGAACGCUGCAGGGAGGAUUGUGCCAUGGAGAGGUCUCUGGGUUGUUCCCAGGUGCAUGGGCAGGGAGCUGCACACACCAUCCCGGGUCUCUGGGCUGCAGGUCCCAGCCCAUCCCCAGCCAAUCUGCUUUCCCAAGGGGCUGAGGCAGCUGUGCUUGUGGUACCUGCUCCAAAGGGACGGGCUGUUCGCUCUGGCUCAUCUUGUCCCUCAUCCCUUUGGGGCUCAGCCCCGUCCCUCCCCAUUUCUCUGUGACACACGAUGCUUCGUGCCAGCAAUCCCUGCCUAUGAGGAGAAGCCCUGCCCUGCCUGGGCGCUGCUCUCCCUCUGGCUCCUUGUUCUUCAGCCUUUGUUUGGUACACGUCCUCGUCCCCUAUGGAUGCCCAUAGUGUCCUUUCCCUUCCAUGGCUCAGUGAGGACCACGAGGAGCUCCCAGCCAUGAAUUUCCCCCACACACCACUGCCAGGCUGUUAUUGCUGUGCGCUCCCUCCUGACUCCAUCUGUCUGCAUGGUGCUACUGCUCCGUGCCAGGAGGGCUCCGGGACCGCUGGGGUCACGGCUGCCCCAUUACGGGGCGAGAUUUAUCAUUGGCAGGUGUGCUGCGGGAUGGUAUAUUAUCCAGGAUUAUGAACUGUAACAGGAUAAUCUCUCUAAUGUAAUUCAAGCUCUCGACAUGGCUUAUGGCUCCUUAAUGUACCUCAGACUGAAGAAUUACAAGAACAUUUUCCCCCCUCCCUACCUUGUCAGCUCCUAAAUGAUUUAGGCAAUCGCCUGAAGCCAGAUCUUGGCCUCCAGUCAUAACUCAGAGCAGUUCAGUAAAUAUGAUGGGGAAGGAGUUUUCCUGCCUUGGCUCUUUCUUCCUUCCGCUGCGCUCAGCCCUCGCGGUGCUGCUGCUCUGCUCCCUGUGGAGCAUUCAGGAUGGACCCAAAGUUGGGCUGGUGGGCGCAGGGAUGCUCUGCAGGGGGAUCAUGCCUUGGUUUCAGAUCAUGGGGUUGUGCCCAUUUCAGCAUCACCUCUCUUUUUGAGUAAUGCAGCAAUUAGUGGUUUGGUAACACAUCAACCAAUGUGUGUCCAGCUUUGCUUUGUACCCCCGCUGAGCCAAGAGGAACAUUGCCCAUCUUCAUCUAAUUGGCUUUUAAUUCUGGUCAUUGCUUUGACCUUAAAGAUGUGGUUUGUGGGGCCGAUUUUGGAGCAGGUACAUCCCCACAUGGGCACCAAAAAGGUGAGCAGUGAUGGCCACCACCCCAGGGUCCCACAGCGACCAACUGGCCUCAGUCCAGCCCCCAUGAGCCCAGUGACAAAUAAACCUCGUAAAAGGAGAGGAAAAAGAGGGAGAAAAGCAGAGAUUAAGAACAGGAACUGCAGGGAUAUGGCUUCCACUCGGCGACUGACUUAAAAUAAACAUCAGAUAUGCAGAGCAGGGCUGGGAGCCUGCCAUGGCAUGGGGGAAAAAGUAAUGCAGGGAAAUGUGUGUGUCCUUUAGCACGGCCGGUUAUGGGCCUGGUUACCUGGUGCUAACGUGAGUGUGGCAGAGGUGUGAUGUGCCGAGUGGCUGCAGGGGAAGGAAAAGGGGAAUGCGUGGGAAUGUGGAAGGUGCUAGGGAGUGUGGAGCAGCCAGGAGCACUCAUCCCUGCCCCAACCCCGGCUCUGCGGGGAUGAAAAACAGAGGGAUGGAAAGCAAAGGGAUGGAAAACAAAGGGAUGGAGAGGGGGAGAUGGGCUCAGGAGGCACCCGGCUGUGGUGGGCACGGAGGCCCCGGAGCUGCAGGUGCCCCAGCAGAGCCCACAGCAGAGGAAGCAGCAGAG